GGACCCGCACAAGUAGUGGAGCAUGUGGUUUAAUUCGAAGAUACGCGCAGAACCUUACCAACACUUGACAUGUUCGUCGCGACUUUAAGAGAUUAAAGUUUUCGGUUCGGCCGGACGAAACACAGGUGCUGCAUGGCUGUCGUCAGCUCGUGUCGUGAGAUGUUGGUUAAGUCCCGCAACGAGCGCAACCCUCACUUUUAGUUGCCAUCAUUAAGUUGGGCACUCUGAAAGAACUGCCAGUGAUAAGCGGGAGGAAGGUGUGGAUGACGUCAAGUCCUCAUGGCCCUUACGGGUUGGGCUACACACGUGCUACAAUGGUGAUGACAGUGGGCAGCGACCCCGCAAGGGUGGAGCU
rnacentral:rRNA from 1 species